rnacentral:rRNA from 1 species
UACGAAGGGUGCAAGCGUUACUCGGGAUUACUGGGCGUAAAGGGUGCGUAGGUGGUUCUUUAAGUCUGCUGUGAAAUCCCCGGGCUCAACCUGGGAAUGGCAGUGGAUACUGGAGAGCUAGAGUGCGGUAGAGGGUAGUGGAAUUCCCGGUGUAGCAGUGAAAUGCGUAGAGAUCGGGAGGAAGGCCGGUGGCGAAGGCGGCUCUCUGGAACGUCCCUGACGCUGAGGCGCGAAAGCGUGGGGAGCAAACAGG